CCUCUCUGCCUUGUCUCCUGGAGAAGGUGGAAGCACUGCGUGGAUGCAAGAAUCGGAGGACCCUGUACAGACUUCCUUGGCAGAGCUCUUCUAAAGCGCAAGUGCAAUUGAAAACUCACCUUCCUUGGGGAAAGAAGAAAAAUUCGGUUCCCUGGCCAGGGGAUGAAUCUCCCAUGCAAUGAUGCACUACCCGUAUCUGAGGGAGGAAGGUGUAAAACAAGCCUGAGUUAAAGGUUCAGUCGUGCAAGGUGUUAAAUCACACCAGCGUCAACAGGACCAUGCGUAUGCUCACAGAUCAGCAUGUGCUGAAAGGCUGUGCCGGCGAAGGGCUCAGCUCCCUGUGAUCAAGGUUGACUUUGAGAGGCUGAAAUGAGAGGAGAUGGAAAGGGAAAAGGAUUUUUGCUAGGAUCAAUUUUCUGUCUGUCUUUUUGUGUAUGCUUCCAGCUAUUUGAAUACGUGCAUGUGUGUAAACAGAGCCAGUCCCCACCCCCCCAUGUCUGAAAUGAAAAAUAAUAAAAAUACAUUUACAUAGCUUCAACAUUAGGCUAUUAAAAAGCUAUAGUCAGUAUAACAGAGGGGAAAAAAAUUACAAAGAACGAUUUGCAUAGCAAACACAUUUCACAGUUGUUUUGGACAAAUGCCCUCGGUAAAUAUGUUUAAAGUCAUGUACAACAAGAAUAUUUUAUCACAAGUAACCAUGUUUUAAUAAACACUUAGUCUUUUUGUAUUUCAUUCUUUCUCAUCGUAAUAAUAGAAAUAUAACACCAUAUAUCACUGUAAAACACAUUUCCACAUAAAUGCUGAUAAGCACAAAAUAUUUUUCAUCAUUUACAUUUUAACUGUAAUAAUAUAUGGCAGGAUUAAAGCUGCAUCCAUCAUGUGUCUAACUAACCUUGCUGUAAUGAAUUUUUAAAUGUAAUGGUUUCUGUCACAAAGUAAAAUCAUACAUAAUAUC